GUCCGCACUGUAAACGAUGAUUACUCGUUGCUGGGGAGCAAUUUCCAGUGACCAAGCGAAAGCGAUAAGUAAUCCACCUGGGGAGUACGCCGGCAACGGUGAAACUCAAAGGAAUUGACGGGGGCCCCGCACAAGCGGAGGAGCAUGUGGUUUAAUUCGAUGAUACGCGAGGAACCUUACCAGGGCUUGAAAGUUAGGGAAUAAUCCUGAAAGGGAUUAGUCAGCAAUGACCCGAAACUAGGUGCUGCAUGGCUGUCGU
rnacentral:rRNA from 1 species